rnacentral:lncRNA from 7 species
GGUUAUACGAGCAGUGUCAGGGGACCAGAUGCACCACAGAACCUCUGUGCUGUGCUGCAUGGCUGUUCCAUCUCUCCCCAUUUCCUUUCCCAGUGCAGCUAAGGUUGGAUACACCCCUGUGAAACCUGUGAAACCAGGAUGGAGCAUUCCAGAUUCUUCUUUUACCACUUCUACUUUGAAAUGCCAAAGAAUACAUUUUGAGAUAUCUCAUUGUUUCUUGCCCUACCUGGAAACUAGACAUAAAUAAGUAGUUUCACAAGCAGCAGAAAUGAUGGAGCCUGCUUUCCUGUGACCUUUUGUCUCCUGUUUGGAUUUUUCUGCAUCCAUGAAUGUGCUGAAGGGAGGGCAUAUACAUGGAGACGUAAUUUCCAUAAGAGUAUGUGAGGAAGAUUAAUCACCCUGCAUCUUGGGUCAGAUCCUCGGCUGACGUGAGCUGAUGUAAUUCCACUGGACUCAGUGCAAUUAUGCUGAUUUAUACCAGCUAAGGACAUCAUACCUACCCCUGUGAGAACACGGAGUUGCCUCCCUUCUCUGCAACAGGAGGACAGCACCCCGCCCCAGAGGAUACGGUGUCACCAGUUCUCAGUGCUACAGUCAUAAUCAUUGUCACCGUCGUCAUAUCUGGGAGCGCUUACCUGUGCUUCCUGAAAUACAUCUGCUCUGGAUGCUGCAAAGCUACCCAGGUGGUACCUACCAGAAGACUCGAUCCUAGCAGGUCUGAAGAACAAGUCUAGCCUCACCUCAACAUCCUAUCGGGUGAUUAUUGAGCUGUGCUAAGGCACUGCUGUAACUAUGAAAUAUCAGAAAGCAAAGGAGACUGCUAUUCAAUCAAGUUAUUCUUGAAAUCUGCUAUUUGUAAGUUAGUUGUAGGAUUCGGUAUUUAAGCUGUGUCAGAGAGGCAGGAGGGAAUAAAGUAGUACUUAGUUCUGCUGUGCUGAGUGUAAUGAUAAGGUGGUAUUUUCGAACUGGAUCUUGAUCUGUUGUCCCAGGACGACGCAGUACUCAACUUAGAACACAUAAGAUGGAACAUUCAGAAUUUCUCAUGGAUGAUGGCAGCACUGAGGGACAUGGUUUAAUGGGCAUGGUGGUGAUGGGUUGAUGGUUGGACUUCAUGAUCUGAGAGGUCUUUUCCAACCUUAAUGAUUCUAUGUUUGGCUUGUUCUGUUCUAUGUUUGUUCUACUUAAUAUGAAGGAUUUCCCACACUGUUUCCUUUGUACACGUAGUUGGUUCUUCCUAGGUAUAAGGAAUCUUCUUCAGAAGUUUUCUGGUGAAUUGCUAAUAUAGGUCACAUUUUCCAGCACUAUUUGGCACUUUGAAAAUGUCUUUCAUCCUCUGAUAAAAUAAGGUUCAAUGCACUUUCCUUGAUACUGCUCUGCUUUCGUAUCUGAUAAUGAACACAGAAUUCCAGAGAUCUGCCAUUGCUAUCAAACAUUCCCUAUAGGUGCAGUGAGAGAGAAAGAGAACAGGACUGGAUACCUUGAGAGUGUCUGAAUUUGGCAAACACAAACUGGACAAACUUUUAGAGCUCCAAAGUCCAGACUUUGGUCUCCAUAUACAGGUAUCUGAAUGACACACUACAGUUUGCAUUAUAUCAGAGGGCAAAAUAGAUGAUCUAGUGAUCCUCUGACAUUAAAUAUGUGCCAGCAAGUACUCACAUUUCUGGCAGCAAUAGCUCUCUAAAAGUCCAUGUGUUGCUUUUUCCAUGCUGUGGAAACAUUCCUGAUUUGCCUUGUGACCAAGCUGCUACUGGGCAUCUAUCUGCACCACAACUAUAUUGAACACUUUGUAAAGUUCUCAGCUGAUAACAUUAUGGCUAUGCAAGUGCUAUUCCUCCAAUUACAUGUUCUAUCCAGUUAAGUGAAUGCUUGAAACACGUUAGCUGGGGUCGGGGUGGAAGGAUGAAAUAGAAAAUGAAUGUGAAGUUUUUUGACAGCUGAGAAAAUGGUGUUCAGAAAAAUAUACCAGUGGAAUGAUUCUUCUUGAUGCAUGUCAGCUUCAGUUGAACAGGGAAGCACUGAAAAACUUUUUUGGAAGAAAAAGGAAAUUUUGGGAUUUGCCAUGCUGAUCCAAAAGGAAAAAGAAGUAUAGAUAAAUAAAGGUAAACAUUCAGAGAUGGCAUGGCAUCAAGUCUUUGAAAUGUGUGUUGUUUACCGUUAGCAUGACCACUUCCCAGUUAAAACAAAACCUGAACACUUGUGGCCUUUGUUUUUACAAUAAGAAGC